CCAAACAAUGGUGGUGUCCAACAUGAGGAAAAAUUUCAUGAGUUUAUUUAAUGGCUCGUCUUAAGUCCCCUGCCAGUAAGUGUUAGGUACAUUUUCAAUAUCACUCCUUCCUGGAGAUGGAACUCAAUAAUUUGACACCAGAUGCGUCAGACAUUUCUGCACAAGGAAUUACUGAAGCCGAUCCAAGUACUAUUACAACAUUUCAUUACCGUAUUCCAGGAUAACCUGCCAAUUUCACCUCUUGUCCUUCAACUUUGUCAUUCAUCAUCCUUAAUGAUGCAGUUUCCCAGCCUUGGAAGGAGCAGCUGUUGUUAGGCAGCUAUAGGAUCCCGUCUUCGGUUCACGCUUCUCAGGUGGCAUUGCCUCACUCAGAGUGUGUUGGGGAACAGAGGCAACGCACAGAUGUUUAAGUUCCACACCCUUUAGUAUCAUCGAUUAGAUCGUUUAGACAGGAGGGUUUGGAAGUUCUCAGCACACCGUGCAUGGAAAUUUGCAGUGAUCCUCAAUUUCUUUUUUCUUUUUUUCCUUGUUUUUCAUUUAUAGUGACUUUUAUUUUUUUUCCAUUAUAGUUGGUUUACAGUGUUCUGUCAAUUUUCCACUGUAAAGGGAUAGAGAGAAAAUGUCUACAAAAUAAGCAAGUGAGAGGAAACUGCCUCUGUGUUGUCAGUCCUUUCUAAUAACAUAUGAUCGUGUUUAUACAUCCUUCCACACUUUCAUCUCUAGCGAGGGCUCCAGAAACCUUAUAGCAACAAAGAUGGAUGUAAACUCGGAACCCCCGCCUAACUUUAGGUAUGAGGCAGAUCUGAAAGCAGUGGUUUCAAGGCAUUUUCAGAGGUAGUGGUAAAACAGCCAGAACAUGGAAUAUGAGUCGUAAAAUCCAUUUGGUAGAAAUAGAACAAAAUGAUAAAUUGUUGCUUUCAUUUCCAAGUGAUUUAGUAUUUAUAAAAUAUGCCUAUAAUUUCUUUGUAAUGCAAUUUAUUGUGUUUCUGAAUAAAAAGGUUAACUAAGCCUUUGAAUAAUUUUAGAACUAAUAGUAUAUAUUUUAAAAAUGUUUUCCAACUGUUUAGCCUAUAGAAAAAUUGUUCUACGGAGAACUAAAGAAAACAUCCAACUAAAUGGAUGAUAUUUUCUUCUUUCCACCCACCCCUCAGCUUUAUCAAAAGGGAUUCUAAUAUCAACCACAGAUAUUGUAAGCCACAGCUUCCCAUAUCAACUGUAAUAUCUAAAUAAUACUUUAGAUAUUAUAUAGCUAUAACAUCUAUAGGAAAUACAUGUAUUUAUAUAGAUAUGUUUAGAGAUAUAAACACAACUAUAGGAUUACUUGUUCUUAUAAUUUUCUUCAUAAGUUGCAGCUUUUACAAAAUUUAUCCACCUGAGUUGACUAAUUUAUGGGCAUAAAGUAAUAAUCCAAUAUUAAAAUUUCACUUCUGUCACUGUCUCUACAGUACUUCUGGAAUGUCCCUGUGAGGGAUUUGACCCAUUUUUCUUCACUGAAGCAACCACUUAACUUGUGAAAAUUAUUUUUUAAAAAUAUGCAAAGUAUCUGGAAAUUGAUCUAAGAAUAUGAAGUAAAUAGAGAAACAUUAUUCAAAGAACAAAUCUGUUAUAUCUCAGUAAGAACAAGAAUCUAGUGCAUUUGAGCCCUGAGUUGCUCCUAGUCUCCCUCCACCCAGCUCUGCGAUGGAAGCUGUCCUCAGCCUUCAGCCUGUGGCUUGGUCUUACCCUGAGAAGAGCAGGGCAUGGGUGCCUCUCAUCCUUCCAUCCCACCUCCCAGCUCUAGGCAAUAGAAGUCCUAUUCUGGGUUGGCAUAGCCUAGAGGACCCAUCUCCCUUUCUUCACCCAGCUCUUAGGGCAGAAUCUCUAUGCUAGUUUCAUCUUGCCCAUCAAUUAUUGGGGCCUGAUGGUCCCCCGCCCCAUAUCUCCCAUGCCCAUAGGCCAGAGAAUCUAUGCUGAGAGGGCACGUCUAUAAGACCAAAAGCUAGAAUUUCCCUCCCCAGUGUCUGUAGAGGUGUCACAUGAGAAGUAGGCCACUGUUCCCACUCCCAGCUAUAGUACAGUGAUGCUGAGCUUCUGCCCAGGGAGGAGAGAGAAACUGUAAGCAUUGCAAGCUCCAGAGCAGUAUCUGAGAGGACUGACUUUAUUUGGAACAGAAUGCAGAGAACACCACGUCUAAGGGCAUUCAUUGUCAAAGACAAUGGAGAACUUGACAGAGAGCAAUUAAAAGGAGUGUUCUAACUCUGUGAAACAAGAAAAAUAAGAGUGCAGCCAGAAAUUUAGAAGAGAAAUAGCCAAAAAGUGUUCUCCUGGGAUGACGUUGACUCUAGCCUAGAAGCCUAUGUGCUAAGUCCAUUGCAGGACCAAUCACAGAAGGUCAUGGACCAAUACAGGACCAAUCACAGAAGGUCAUGGAUCAAUACAGGACCAAUCACAGAAGGUCAUGGACCAAUACAGGACCAAUCACAGAAGGUCAUGGAUCAAUACAGGACCAAUCACCGAAGGACGUGGGCAACAUUUUCCAAGCCACAAAUAGAUCUGCCAAGGGUGGAAGCCUUACUGGCUCAAAAGGCUUCAGUACAACCUCUGACCAACCGCUGGGUGAACAAUAAGCCACACUAAAGCAGGGGCAACCAUAAGCCGCUCUGACCAGGGACAUUAGAAAUUCAGCUGGUGUAGACCGGCAGCUGCAGCUCUAUUUGACCCCUAGGCUGGGAACUUCUGCAUGCUGUGGGUGCAACCCCCACCACCAAAAAAAAACCAAAAAACGA
rnacentral:lncRNA from 1 species